rnacentral:tRNA from 1 species
GACCUCAUAGCACAGUGGAUUAGUGCGUUUGACUUCGGAUUAAAAGGUCGUGGGUUCGACUCCCACUAUGGUCG